rnacentral:snoRNA from 1 species
UCCUAUGAUGGCAUGAAAUCUUUGAGACCUGAUUUGUGUUUUUAAGCACAUGAUGAGAAUUAUAAGCUAAAAUUCUGAGGAU